GACGAACGCUGGCGGCGUGCUUAACACAUGCAAGUCGAACGGAAAGGCCCUGCUUUUGUGGGGUGCUCGAGUGGCGAACGGGUGAGUAACACGUGAGUAACCUGCCCUUGACUUUGGGAUAACUUCAGGAAACUGGGGCUAAUACCGGAUAGGAGCUCCUGCUGCAUGGUGGGGGUUGGAAAGUUUCGGCGGUUGGGGAUGGACUCGCGGUUUAUCAGCUUGUUGGUGGGGUAGUGGCUUACCAAGGCUUUGACGGGUAGCCGGCCUGAGGGGGUGACCGGCCACAUUGAGACUGAGAUAAGGCCAAGAAUCCUACGGGAGGCAGCAGUGGGGAAUAUUGCACAAUGGGCGGAAGCCUGAUGCAGCAGCGCCGCGUGCGGGAGGACGGCCUUCGGGUUGUAAACCGCUUUCGCCUGUGACGAAGCGUGAGUGACGGUAAUGGGUAAAGAAGCACCGGCUAACUACGUG
rnacentral:rRNA from 1 species